GGUUUUGGAAGAAUCGACGGUAACUGUGAAGAAGUCAAUAGGACCAACUGCAAAUUAGUCGAAACCAAAGAGAUGGAGUCGACUAAACAAAAGUCACCUGCUUCAAACCAACCAACUAAAGGGAAGAUGGUUUGGCUCGGCUAAAAUCUUGUAACUAUUCAUAAAAAACCUUACAAUUAAUUGUAUGAUAAAUGAAAUUAUAAAAAAAAAAAAUGAAUAUGACAUAAUAUCGAUUUUUUGUGGUAAAAAACAUGCGCCCCUAAAAAUAGACAAAUGAUUUUUAUGUUGGAAAGUAUAUAAUGGCAUAAGAAAAUGUCACUAAAAACUUAAAAGUGAUGUAAUGUCGUAAAAAUGAAGUGACACUAAAAUCUGAAAAUGUUUCACGGCCACAACCAAAAAUGUCAAUAAAGAUUUCUAAUGUAAACUUUUUUUUUUGUCGUUAUUACCAAAAAAAAGCUAUUGGUGGUAUUUAGUGCCAUUUUUCUGUAUUAAAUAUCAUUUUUAUUUGUAAUGCUAAUAUUGAUUUUUAACUCGAUUACAAAUCAAUUUGAUACGAUUUUCUUAUGUAUAACAAAGCCUAAUCUAAUGUCUAGAUGUCUCUUUUAUCCAAUUACAGUAAGAUUUAGCCUUACUAUAAUACUUAUAACUAAUAACCCAAAAAUUAAAUCAAUAUUGGUACGAUUUUUAGUUCCGUGUGUAUAUCGGUAUUACUGAGUUUGGAUUCGAUCUAAUUUCAACCAAAUGAAUAUCCUUGAUUGCAAGCCUUUAAAAUAAUUGCCUAACUUAACUUCAAACAGAACUUUCGGAAGUAAAAAAUAUAUUGCACCAUUAAUCUGAAUAUUAAUUUGAAUUAAUUUGAGAAAUGAGCAUAAUACAACCCAACAUUGAAUUAUAUCAAUAAUCUUUUAGGAUAAUUAGAAACCAUGUAAAUAUGACAGAACUGGGCUUUCAUGGAAGAUAGCCACCAUGACCACCACCAGCCCCAUUUCCACCACCACCACCGUAUCCACCUCCAUGUUCACCACCACCUCCUCCUCCUCCUCCACCACCNNNNNNNNNNNNNNNNNNNNNNNNNNNNNNNNNNNNNNNNNNNNNNNNNNNNNNNNNNNNNNNNNNNNNNNNNNNNNNNNNNNNNNNNNNNNNNNNNNNNNNNNNNNNNNNNNNNNNNNNNNNNNNNNNNNNNNNNNNNNNNNNNNNNNNNNNNNNNNNNNNNNNNNNNNNNNNNNNNNNNNNNNNNNNNNNNNNNNNNNNNNNNNNNNNNNNNNNNNNNNNNNNNNNNNNNNNNNNNNNNNNNNNNNNNNNNNNNNNNNNNNNNNNNNNNNNNNNNNNNNNNNNNNNNNNNNNNNNNNNNNNNNNNNNNNNNNNNNNNNNNNNNNNNNNNNNNNNNNNNNNNNNNNNNNNNNNNNNNNNNNNNNNNNNNNNNNNNNNNNNNNNNNNNNNNNNNNNNNNNNNNNNNNNNNNNNNNNNNNNNNNNNNNNNNNNNNNNNNNNNNNNNNNNNNNNNNNNNNNNNNNNNNNNNNNNNNNNNNNNNNNNNNNNNNNNNNNNNNNNNNNNNNNNNNNNNNNNNNNNNNNNNNNNNNNNNNNNNNNNNNNNNNNNNNNNNNNNNNNNNNNNNNNNNNNNNNNNNNNNNNNNNNNNNNNNNNNNNNNNNNNNNNNNNNNNNNNNNNNNNNNNNNNNNNNNNNNNNNNNNNNNNNNNNNNNNNNNNNNNNNNNNNNNNNNNNNNNNNNNNNNNNNNNNNNNNNNNNNNNNNNNNNNNNNNNNNNNNNNNNNNNNNNNNNNNNNNNNNNNNNNNNNNNNNNNNNNNNNNNNNNNNNNNNNNNNNNNNNNNNNNNNNNNNNNNNNNNNNNNNNNNNNNNNNNNNNNNNNNNNNNNNNNNNNNNNNNNNNNNNNNNNNNNNNNNNNNNNNNNNNNNNNNNNNNNNNNNNNNNNNNNNNNNNNNNNNNNNNNNNNNNNNNNNNNNNNNNNNNNNNNNNNNNNNNNNNNNNNNNNNNNNNNNNNNNNNNNNNNNNNNNNNNNNNNNNNNNNNNNNNNNNNNNNNNNNNNNNNNNNNNNNNNNNNNCUCCAUACCCACCACCGCUACCACUCCCCGCACCUCCACCGUAACCUCCUGCAUGCUCCCCACCAGCCCCAUAGUACCCACCACUACCACCGCCACUCCCUCCACCACCUCCACCUCCAUACCCGCUACCAUGUUCUCCAUACCCACCAUACCCUGAACCACUUCCCGUACCACCACCACCUCCAUAACUAGGAACAUGAUCAUACCCACCACCACCAGCAUAUCCACCUCCACCACCUUGGCCCCCACCGCCACCGCCACCAUAUCCUCCACCAUGUUCACCUCCUCCUCCAUACCCACUACCACUACCACUCCCGGAACCCUGACCACCACCUCCAUACGAGCCAUAUCCUGGCCCUACAUGUCCACCUCCACCACCACCACUACCACUACCUCCUCCUCCACCACCACCGAUACUCUCAUAACUGAAAAGUGAUCUGGUGGCUGAGCAAAUGCCAAUGCAAAAGAAGACAAAGAAAACAUUAAGAACAACUUUCUGAGAAGCCAUUUUAGGAAAGUUUGAGUAACUACAAAGAUCUUGAAAUGCUAUUUAUAGGAAUUCCGAGGAAGCUAGACGUCAAAAACUAUGAAUGAGUAUGCACAUGGUGACUUGAAAGUGGGUGUAUCGAUCCCAUAUUGGGUCCAGCCUCCACCUACCUACGGCGCACUUCACCGAGAGAGCUAGCGCACCACGGAUCGACAUUUAUAUAUGGACCAAUUUUGCUGUCACCCACAUCUUAUCAUCAUUUUAAACCAUUUUAAAAUAAAACGUUACACUAUUUUUAGCUAAUUUACUUAAUUAAAAAAAGAUUAUUUGAUUAAAAACUUAUAUCUAGGGGGUUAAAUAGGUGGCAUUUUUUAUUUUUAGUUAAAACUAAAACAACUAUUCAGUAAGUUGUUUUCAAAUGCUUAAAAUCUCUUUGAGCUUUUUUUUAUGACGAAAUGAUCAAAAUGGAAGAUUUCAUAUGUAACACGUAUGAAUUGAGGUUAGCUUUUCGACGCAUAAAUACCUUUCCUUCAAUUAUUUUAGUUUAUUGACAUGAGUAUGUUAGGUUUAUAUGUUUGUAUAAGGACUUUGGCAAAUUGAGAAAGAGAAAGUCUCAUGUGUACAAUAGGUUAAAAAUCUUUAAGUACAUUGAAAUUUAGGUUUUGUCCUUAAUUGUAAACUUUGGUAUAUAUAGAUAGGGUAUUUUUUGUUGGUGGUUCAAGUGGAAGGACCUAAAUGUAACUAAUGAGAGUUAUUUCAUUUUUAAUUAUGAUAAACGAAACAAUGUGCAUGAGUUCAUGAGGUUAAUACGUAUAAAGAGGGACAAAGCCGACUUUGUAAUGAAGGGUUUGCAUGGAGAAGAAGAAGAAGGUGAUUUGGUUGUAGUACCCAUUAUUGGUGUUUUCGGUUUAAUGUUAUAUUUGUGAGAAUUGAGAUUUCCUUGGAUUGAUCUUGAGGGACACUUUGGAGUUUGGAGGAUAUUAUAGAUUGAGUUUUCGUUUGUCUUAAUACAUGUUAUUUUACAUAUUUGAUAAAUUUAAUUGACAAUCUUUAAUAAAAUAGUUUUAAAUGUUUGUUUAUAAAACCUUCUUUCACACUUUUCUUAAUAUAUACUACACAAUUCUCUUUUAGAUGAAAAAUGCAUUUAUGUUAUGUUACCCAAUAACCUAAAAGAAUUGCUAUAAUCAUAGUUGUAUAAUUCAAUUCAAUUACAAUUUUUUUUGUCCAACUUCGAAGAUUGAUAUUUAAACAUAAGAUCAUAUUAGGUAACACACCCUGUAAUUUACUCGUGAAUCUACAAUUUAUCCCAAGCACCCUGAAGCGGGACUUGAGCCUCUAUUGGCUAAAGGGAAAAUGACUUAUUAAGGUAACUAACUUGUUUUGUUUGUUCACAUUUAGGUAAUAUGACCGGCUAUCACCUGUUUUUGCUUAUGUGGCAUCCACCUGGCGUUACGUUGCACCUACGUGGCAUGAUGCAUAUAUGGGAAAAUGACUUAUUAAGGUAACUAACUAUUUCAAUUGUCCAUAUAUAGGUAAUGUUCUUUUUUUUAUACACAUUAAGGUAACUAACUUGUUUUGUUUGUUCACAUUUAGGUAAUAUGACCGAUUAUCACAUGUUUUUGCUUAUGUGGUAUCCACCUGGCAUAUGACUUGAAUACGUUACACCUACGUGGCAUCCACCUGACAUAUGACUUGUUUUGUUUCUUCUUCCUCAUCUUAUUCUUCAAAACAACAAGAUGAAUUUCAAGCUGAUCAUCCAUGUGAUUGCGGCUUACCAUCUCGUGUGAAGAUUUCAAGAACUCCUGACAACCAUGGAAGAAAAUUUAGAGUUUGUCAAAACUCGAUGGUAAAUCAAUAUUGUUGAAUAUGUUGCAGGAGUUCUUGAAAUCUUCACACGAGAUGGUAAACCGCAAUCGAUGAUCAGCUUGAAAUUCAUCUUGUCAUUUUGAAGAAUAAGAUGAGGAAGAAGAAGCCAUCAUCGAUCGAUCUAGGGUUUAGAAUUAGGGGUGGAAUCGUAUGACACAGUUAUAGUGUAAUCGAAUGAAGACAAUAUAUGCACCAUGCCACGUAGGUGCAACGUAUUCAAGUCAUAUGCCAGGUGGAUGCCACAUAAGCAAAAACAUGUGAUAGCCAGUCAUAUUACCUAAAUGUGAACAAACAAAACAAGUUAGUUACCUUAAUGUGUACAAAAAAAAGAACAUUACCUAUAUAUGGACAACUGAAAUAGUUAGUUACCUUAAUAAGUUAUUUUCCCAUAUAUGCACCAUGCCACGUAGGUGCAACGUAUUCAAGUCAUAUGCCAGGUGGAUGCCACAUAAGCAAAAACAGGUGAUAGCCGGUCAUAUUACCUAAAUGUGAACAAACAAAACAAGUUAGUUACCUUAAUGUGUACAAAAAAAAGAACAUUACCUAUAUAUGGACAAUUGAAAUAGUUAGUUACCUUAAUAAGUCAUUUUCCCAUUGGCUAAAAGACAGCUUUUCAACAAUUAUUUAAUAUCACUAGACCACAUACCUUUUGAUUAAUUAACUUAAAUAAAUACAUUCAUACAUUCACUUAAUUAAAAUUGUUUAAGUCUCCCAUUGAUCACAUUAGUGGGUUAUCCAUGUGAUAAGGACCACCACUAUUACAUUUUUUUGUUACAUGAAACAUAUAUUCAUUCUUGAUCUCUAGUAUGUAUGAAAGAGGUAAAUUCACUCUUUACUUUACAUUUACUUAUUCUUGAUUCCUCUUUAUAUGCACCCCAUCAUGCUUGUCUCCAACAACAAAUGGGUUAAAGAUAAAAAAAAAAAAAACAAAUAUGACAAUGGUAACUUGACACAUGAUUUUAACUUUUUGAUAUUUUAGUGGAUGAUAUUAUAUUUAUAGGAAGACAGCUAAAUACCCAUUUCAUUUUCAUUGUGGGCACUAUGCUUCCUCCCCAUGUGAUAUACUCAAAUCAUUAGUUUCAUCCAAAAGGAUGCCAAGUCAACCCUUGUAUAUCACUCUUAAAUGGAACCAAAACUUUUGUUAAAAGCUAACUAUUAUGGACACCAAGCAAUAGCAUAUAGCUUAUGUCACAUACUCUCAUUAGAGCUUGCACUUGGGCCAAUCUGCAAACCCUAAGCCCAACCUCAAUCUUCAGGUUCAGGCCCAUACACAAGCCCAUCUUAAUCUCUACCCAUAGACAUCAAAGCCCAAUUCUCGGUCCAAGUUCUAGGUUAGGUAAUGAAAGCCACAUGAUACAAAAAGACAAGUGUGGCACAAAUCAUUUAACGUAAGUGGACAAAAAUAUAGUGGGAGAUAAAGAUGAGAUUUUCCCACCACUUUACCAUUGAUUACACGUUAGGUAUUGACAACCACAUAAUAAAGAAAAAGAUAAUUAUGAACACAAAAUUAUUAGAAGUGGACAAAAGUUCUUAACUUAAAGCUAAGUGAUAAUAUUAUAGAGAAACUUCAAGAAAAGAAAGGUUCAAGAUUGUUUGGCCUAAGUAUGGAGUCUAAGAGUGUGAGCCAACCUUCUCCCAGGUUUUGCUUCUUCAUUUAACCUUUCCAAACUAAUUCUAUAACCUUUUUAGAAUGUGUUUUGGUUAGCUUUUUUAUCACAAAAGUGUAUUAGGAAAAUGUUUAUUAGCUUAUGAUUUUUUGAAAAAACUGUUUUUAAAAAGUGUUUGGUUAGAAAAUCAAUUUUUUCAAAAAAAAAAAUGAAAAGCUAUGAUUCUAGCUUGUAGGAACCCUUCUAUUUUGUCUAAUCAAAAAGAUUGAAAAGCUACUUUUAAAUUUCCAAACACAUUUUUAGUUUAUUAGUUUUUUUAAAAGCUAAUAAGCUAUUUUGAGAAGUUAACCCAAACACCCACUUAAUCAAAAGAUUAAUUAUAAAAUUAAUGAAUUCAUGUUUUUCUAAAUACUGACUAGAUUAAGUGAUUUACUCCCUUUCUUGUAAAGCAAUGAAAACAAGCCGAAUUUCAAGUGCCCAGAAGGAUGGACAUGCACAAUCACCAAAACUGAGCCUUCUAAGAUCGGUAAACCAUUCGCAAUAUGUGGUGGCAAUGGUUGCUCAUGUGUCACGUAUGUUCUCUUAUGCUCACGCUUUACUUUCUAGGGCUAGUUUUGAUGAUCAAGAUGAAAAGGGCAUUCUUGUCUUUUUGCCCAAACAAGAAAUCAAGAACAAAUCCCCGUCUCCCCUUUUGGGGUAGAACAAAAUAUUACAACUUUUGUCUUCGGUCUGAGUUUCAAUACAAUGCAUGUCAAACCUAAUACAAUCAGUAUCCUGUAACUUGUCCUGUCAUGUCAUGUCAUGUCACGUGACGUGACCUGUCUUGUCUUGUCCUGAAGCGCGAUAUGAUGUUGCAGUGAGAAAAGUGUUAAAGAGACGGUGGAGAGUACAGAAGGAGCUAAAGUAUUUUGCGAGUGUGGUGAAGGUUGGUCUUGUGUUGUAACCAAAACUGAGGGGUCUGAAGCUGGAAAGACAUAUUUCGAGUGUGGUGAGGGUUGCAUAUGUGUGAUAGAUGAAACAAACACUGUCAAGGUUGUAUGUGCUUGAGUUGCACUAUUAUCUUAAUAGUAGCAACAUGAAGGAUCAAGAUCACAUAAAUGGUGUAAUUCGCUAUUAAGUUUCUUCCAAAAUAUCGUGUUUGUGUUCAAGUUUGUAUUUAAGCUAGUAUGUGUUUGUUAUGUAACAAGUAUGUGAAGUUUGUGUUUUUCUGUUAUUUGUACACCUUAUAGUGUUAAGUAUAUACUAUAUAGUAACAUAUAUCGUGUGUAGUAAAACAGAUAUCAAUGGAGAACUAAAAUAAUGUCAUUGUUGUCCCUUAAUUAUGGAGUUGCAAAUGCAUAAUUAGUUAAUUACAUCGGUAAUUGGGUAUAUUACCACUAAUCAAUGAGCUUAGUUUCAAACUUUUCUGAAUCUGAAAUAUCUUACACUGCAAUCUGGAUGAAGAUUUAUUCAGACCACAUAGCAACUUCAGUUGCUUCUUCAAGAAAUUGUUGAAAAGGGAGUAGAAAUAUAGCAGGAAUAAGCACUCUCUUCUGCAAAUAACACAUUUUUCAAGCAUCAAUAGGCUAAAUUACCAGAAAGAGAUCAAAUUCAGAUUCGUUUAUAAGAUAUGGAGAAUUUAUGAUUGCACUGAUUUCAUAAAGUUAUAUCAAAAACAGUGAAUCAGUUGGGAAGAAGUAAUAUGCUUACGAUAAACAAUGAUAAUUCGAGUACCAAUUACAGUAAUCUCGAAGCUAAUACAAUCGCAGUUCCUUAAUGAAAUUGUAAGGCCAUGAAUUCAGGAAUUAAAAUCAAACCUUCAGAGUUUUCAUCUAAAUUGAUGAACAAAACAAUGUAAUCUGCUCACGGAAAGUCCGAUCCUUCGGCCUCAAAUCCCUCCGAACGUAACCCUUAGCCACUUCCUGACUAAACGACUCAAAUCCCUCCUGUCCGCUCCUCCGCCACAUAUCCUCCGCAAAACUCCGGUGCGCAUAAUACGCCUCAGCACGUACCGCCACACGACGGCCACCGCUACCAGCAUCACGAAUUUCCGGAGAAACAGUAAUCGGAAGCCUCUCGUAAUGUCCAAGGGUAAUGCCUUCAAGCACAUCGAGGCGUUGAAGUCCAGCGUCCGAAACAGAGUAAAGCUCACCGCGGACACGGUGGCGACCCGUCCCAGGGAGGUUGAGGAGGAACGGUACGCCAUGGGGACCACGGACGAGAGGUAGGUGGAGGUCGGUUACGUAAUUGCCUAUGAAAACGGCGUCGUUGCUGGAGAUUAAAUCCUGCAUCAAGGUGUGGUUAGCGAAUCCUCGUUUGAGAGUGCCGUAUGAAAAGAUUAGGGUUUGUUUGGGUGGAUCGACGGCGUUGCCGGAGAUCGUCAUCUCUUUCCGGCGACUACAAAGCUGCUCAGAUGGGGUGCCGGCGAAUAACAAUAAAUGAGUGGACAAAAAUUGUUUGGAGUUGCCGGAUGUUGUUGUGUAGCCCAAUAUUUGUGAGCUUUCUAAUCCAGGGUAACGUACAAGUUUUUAUGCGUUGCGUACAAGUAAAUGAAUAAGAAUUAUUUAAUCGAGAAACACAAAUUUCAGCUUUUCAGAAUGUGAAAAAGUAGAUUUUCUAUUUUGUUAUCGUUUUCCCAUACAUCCAAUAGUCACCCGAGUAAAAUAUUCGGAAACCUAUAAUCACGUCAUCGUAUGGUGUUCGCUGGUGAACAUUUCAUUCACAUAAAUAAGGGAUAUCACAUAAAUAAGGGAUAAUGAUCUGAGAGUGUAAAGAAUUUUUGAUUUUUUUUAUAUUUAGUCACUAAGCUUUUUUUUUUGUUAUCUAUUUGUCAUUGAAGUAUUGAAACUGUUCACAUUUUACCCUUAUGACCGGUAACAGCCGGUCAUAACGAUAAAAUGUGAACAGUUUCAAUAGCUUAGUGACAAAUAGAUAACGAAAAAAAGUUUAGUGACUAAAUAUGAACAAAAUCGAAAGUUCGUUUCCCUCUAAAAAGUUCAAUGUCUAAAUGUGAACAAACUUUCUCUUGUAUUAUAUUUUAGCAAAUUAUUUAUUUUUGUUAAAUUGUAGCAACAUUUGUUAAUGAAGAAAUCUAUGAAAUAAAAAAAACAAAACCCUGAAAAUAUAUUUUAAAAAAAACAAAAAACUGAAACCGAAAUAAAAAAUCAAUGGUUUGACAUUUUCCAAAAUAAAAAUCAAAAUUUCCAAUCUGACUUUGGUUUUACAAAAAAAUGAACCAUUCUCACUGAUGUGAAUUAUGACCAUUGGUUUGGCAUGCGGAAUUUGUGACAUCCCAUGAAUACGUAGUUACUGUUGGAUUAGUGUCUAAGUCCAUAACUAUUUUGGUGUGUACUUGACCCGAUUGUUCAUAGUCCUUUUGGGUUGCCUUCGCCAAAAGCAACUUGNUCCUUCACCAAAGCAACUUGAUAGAAUGAAUUAUGGAGAGAGAUGAUUAAUUAUGAUUUAUUAAUAUAUUAUGAGAAUAAUAUAUUAAAGGAGAAAUCAUAUUGUUUAAUUAAUAUUAGUCAAGAAUUAAUAAGAAUUAAUUUUGUGGCUAAAAGAUAUUAAUUAAAUAAAAGGGACUAGAACUGUCAAGUGUGUGAUAGUUGAAUAUUGGGCUAAUGGACUCCAUAGAGGAUGGAGUGGAUGAAUUCUAUGGGGAAACCCAUUAGAAAUCGUCCAAGGCCUCCAUUAAGUAGUCAGAUUAGGGUUUCCUUGUUAGAUAACCCUAAUAGCCUCACUAUUUAAGGAUCCCUUGAGCAUCAAAAACGUGGCCAAGAGUUUCCUUAGGGUUUCUACACGUUUUUGGGUGUCUCCUCUCUUAUCAUUUUUCAUCCUCUUGCUCUUGGUGUUUGUGAGCCAUUAGAGGAGUGACACUUGUGACUCUAAGCUUUCUAAAGCCAUUACAAAGGAGGAUUUGAGAUUGUUAUUGCUACAUAACAAUCAAGGUAAGAUCUAAACCCCAAUCUUAUGUUAAUAUGAUUAAUUGUAUGCUAGAUCUAGGGUUUAUAGCUUUGGAUAUUCAAUUGCAUGCUCAUUAGACAAACUAGAUCCAAAUGCUAUUAGGGUUUGCAUGUGCACCAUAAGAAUGAUGUUUUGCUCUAAACCCAUCAGUUACAACAUCGUCUGAACUCUUAAUUCAUCACCUACAGGUUAUGGGUCUGCUGGUGUUUCCAUUAGGUUGUCUAGAAUAGUCCGUGGUCGCCAUCUAUACUCUGGUAGAUGACUACAUCGCCACACUGCCGGUUAAGGUUAUGGUAUCUCCUUUCAUCCUACAUCACCUAUUCAUCAUCAUCUAUUUACCUAAUUAUCAUCACCUUUCUAUCAUCACCUAUCUCUCAUCAUUUUAUUUCAUCACACACCAACUAUUUCAUCUACCCAUGUUUCAUCCGCAACAUAUUUGUAGAUAUAAAAUAAAUAUACCGUUUAAAUCUUUUAAAACAUGUAUAAAAUCGUUCAUCCAGCAUAGACAGCAAGUAUUCAAAUAAUAUGCACACAUAGCACGUAAUUUAUAUAAAAUACUUCAUAUCUAUGUGGAAGAUAAAAGUAACUAUAUAUACCAUAAAAAUCCCAUAAAUGCUUCCUAACUUCAAACCCCAAGGUUUACUCUACUAAAGCUUCAUAUUCUCGGCUCUCUGGACCUAGAAGGGUCUAGAUUCCUAACUUCAAACCCCAAGGUUUACUCUACUAAAGCUUCAUAUUCUCGGCUCUCUGGACCUAGAAGCAUCCAGAUCUAUAACACAAACUUGCAAGAGGGGUUUGAGGCAUUCAAAACCCCAAAGAUGAAGUGAUUCAAGCCCUAACCCCAAAAUGGAAUCUACACAAUAGGGAAGGAAAGGGGUUCAUUUUUGUACCUCAGAAUGAAGCUCCUUGCUUGAAUAACUCAGAACAAUAACCUUCCUUGGUCCCUCUUGCUGGAACUCUUCUCCUUUCUUGCAAAAUCACACCAAAAAGCUCAAGAUAGCUCUUCCUCUCACUCUACACACUCAAGCUCGCUAGGGUUCUCACUUAUGGGAAAGGUAGUCGCAAUUGAAGGCCAUAAGUGCCUUUAAAUAUGGCUCGGGCCCAAAGAUUUAGGGUUUCUGCCAACAGCGCGGACUCGUCGAGUCGCCUCACCGACUCGUCGAGUCCAUUCAUUAAUCUGAGUCAUCAGUCGCGACCUUCCUCGCCGAGUUGAGGCGUCAACUCGUCGAGUCUCUCUUCUUAACUCAAAAGAAAAAUACUUAAAUUAUGAUACCUGGAAAUCCGGAUGUUACAUUUUGUUUUUUUAUUUCAUAGAUUUAUUCAUCAACAAAUGUUGCUACAAUUAAACAAAAAUAAAUAAUUUGCUAAAACAUAAUACAAUAGGAAGUUUGUUCACAUUUAGCCAUUGAACUUUUUAGAGGGAAACAAACUUUCGAUUUUGUUCACAUUUAGUCACUAAACUUUUUUUCGUUAUCUAUUUGCCACUAAACUAUUGAAACUGUUCACAUUUUACCCAUAUGACCAGUAACAGCCGGUCAUAAGGGUAAAAUGUGAACAGUUUCAAUAGUUCAAUGUCAAAUAGAUAACGAAAAAAAGUUUAGUGACUAAAUGUGAACAAAGUCGAAAGUUCGUUACCCUUUCAAGUCAUUAUCCCCAUAAAUAAUGUAUGAAGAGAGUAGUUUACAAUUAUAUUAAAAAAAAACAAUUUAUAAAUGGUUCUAUGUGGUUUUUAAAAACUUGCAUUAUUAGAGUAUCUUUCAAAAGCAUUACAUCUGUGGUUUUUGUGGUUUUAAAAUCAAGAACGAUUAGUUUUUUUUUUCUUUUGUUAACUCUGUUAAAAAUAUUAGUUAAAUACUUGUGAAAUGAUAUAUAUGACAUUCUUUAUCUUUUUUCGUUUAUUUAAGAAAACUGUAGGGACCAUUUAUGUAAAUAAGAAAAAACUCAAAUAAACCUCCUAAAUAUAUGUAGGCUUUCUCCACAUCCUGUCUCUCAAACAUCUCGUUCCCUUUCUUCUCACCAUCUACAAUGGCCGUCGGAACAAUACAUUUUGGCCUCCUUUCCACCCUCUCAUCGGUGUUAUAUGUCUCCACCAACUCUUUCCUUUACCAAACCCUCACCCCCUCAACCCACAAAAUCUCCUUCUCAUUGAUUCAUCAAAUUCCCAAACCAUAACAUCACCCACCAUCGAAAAUUAAAAUUAAAACACAAUAUGUAUAGAUUACACCAUAAAAAGGUAAUUGGUAUCCUUUAUGUGAGGGGCGGUAGUCGAUGAAGACACAUGGAAGUGAUCUAAAGUCGAUUUUUUGAUGCGUGUAAGGGCGAAAAAAGGGUAACAAAAACAACCAAUUUUUUUAGGAAGCCAUAAUUUGGUGUUCGGUUGUAUAGGAGUUGGUAAGGUGAUUUAUAAUUUUGGUUCGGAAUGAUGGUUUGAUUGUGAAGAUAGGUGGUGGUGUGAAAAGCAUGUUCCCCAAAAAAUUGUGGAAUUGAUGAGUGAGCAAUAAAAGUAAGUCCCUUUUCAACAAUGAUAUGAUUUUGACAUUCAACGGCUCCGUUGUGCUCGAGUGUGUGGGGACAUGAAAGUCUAUGGGCAAUAUCAUAGGUGCGUAAGAAGGUAAAUACAUUACGGAAUUCACCACCCUAAUUGGUUAGAAGACAUUUUAUAUCACAAUUAAACUGGGUAUGAAUCAUUUUUCUAAAUUGAACAAAGCUAGAAAAAAAAAACUUGAGAUUUGUGAGAUAAAAAGUAAAUGCAUACAAACUUGGUGCACUCGUCAAUUAAAAGAACAAAAUAGUGAUGACCAUUCAUAGAAAAACCCGGGGAAGGACCUUAAACGUAUGAGUACAUUAAAUCAAAAUAUUUAUGAGAUGUAACAUGAGAAGUAAGAAGAUGAAAAUGAUGACUCUUGCCAAGUUGACAAGAGUCACACACGGCUAGAAGUUUAUUUGAACUAAGAGGAAGUUGGAAGGAAAAGACUAAGCAUUGCAAGAUCGGUUCAUGAGGAUUUGCAAGUCGUUUGUGUCAUCCAUGUAAGGUAGUACGAACACCGAAAAGAUCGACCUUGGGUUUUAUUGAGUGAACAAGGAAGCCGAUAUAAACCAUCUUUAACGUCUCAACGGAUAAGUGUUUUUCCCUGAAAGGUCUUAACAUAACAAGAGUGAGGCCAAAAUUCAAUAAAUACUUGAUUGUCAUUUGUGAUUUUAUAAACACUAAGUAAAUGUUUUGUGAGUUGAGAAACAACAAAAACAUUAGACAACUUAAGAUGAUGUAGUGAACAUGAACCCACAUGAGAAAUAGACAAAUGUUUACCAUUACCCACUUGAAGCUUGUUUGAUCCUUGGUAUUCAUCUGCAACAGUUAAACGUUGUAGAUCUGGUAAGGCAUGAUUAGUGGAUCCAAAGUCAAAGUACCAGGAGGGGUUGACAAUGGUUGAGGGUUUGUUGUAGUGGGCAAGAUUAGCUUGGCGUUUUGCAGCUGGUUUUUAGGAUGGGUUGAAACAAUUUGUUUCGAUUCGUUUCACAAUUCGGGGCCAUGAACCGAAGAUCAAGUAUCAUAAGGGUUUGCGAUUUGGGGGAAGAGAGGUUUAGGCCCAUUUGUAUGUGGGUUAUGUAGCUAUGUGAUCUGAUAGUUCAGUUUGGAACGAAGUUCGUUUUGGAGUCAAAGGGUAAAAUGGGAAAGUAGUGUUCCAGACUUCUUUUAUGAAUUAUGGAUUUUAUUUCGAUGUGUUUUAAGUAAAAAGUAAUUAUAUACGGUUGUAAAGCUCCUCAAUACCUUUCUGUGGAUAUAAAGAUCGUCGAAAACAAAGUUGGAACGAAAAAGUUAUAAUCAUUUGAAGUUAGGGCGGUUUUGGGUUGAGUCGCGAACGUUGGGCGUACUAGGGCAUCCCUAGUACGUUGGGUGUAAAUUGAGUAUGUUGGGCGUAUGUAAUCAGUGUCCAAACCCUACUUUCGUGGUUUGAGCCCUAUUUAAGCUACUUAACUCCCCCAACCUCAUUCCAUUCUCAGCCUCCAUCUCUCCAACACCCUCACUUGUAACCCUGACCCUAGAUUGAGCCUUAUGAGCAAAAAUGUAACACUCGAUUCCAGGUAUGAUUUAAUUCCAAAAUGUCCUCGUAAUUCUCUUUGAGCAAGGCAUGGUAAAGCCUCACCACAGUGUGUCGGUAGGCCUUUGGGCCACAAAAUUUAUUGGACCAACACGGCGUGUUUGUGUUAUUACACGACGUGUUGGUGGCUGGUGGAGAAACCCUAAUUUUUAGGGUGAUUCACCCUAUUUAAAGGCCUUAAGUCAUCAUGGUUGGCCUCCUUACCAGCAUCCAUUGCCACUAAAACCCUAAAAUUGAUCCCUAAGUCUAUUGGUGGUGUUCUUGAGCUAGUAAGAAGUUCUUGGUGUUCAUUUUUGGCCUUUGUGAAGGAAGAGGAGAGCUUGAAGUUGUCUUAUUUGGUGGUAAGGUUUUAGAUCCAGAAUCAUCUCCUCUUGUGUAAUCUUUCUAAGGUAUCAAGUUUGAACCUUGACUUGUGGAUUUCUAGAUCUCUUCAUUUUGUGCUUUGUUAUGCUUUUGGCCCCUUUUGGGUUGAUAAGAGAGUGAAAUCAUUUUAAGAGCUUGUUAUUCCAAAUCUGAGUUUGUUUUGGACUCCUUGAGAAUAAAGGUGCAAGCUUUAUGAGUUAAUUGGUCACAUGCAUGCUUUAAGUCACUUAUUAAGUCCCUUGUUAGCUUAAGAGCUUCAUUUAGACAUGCAUGAACGUAAAGAUGGAAACUUUACGUGAUUUUCCAACUCAAGGAAGUCAGAUCUAUGUUUUGGGGAUACGUCUUCAAGGAUUAAGUGCUUAUUGGUUAAGCCCUUGCUCUAUCAAGUCUUAUGGUUGGGUUUUGGACCCUUUUUGGUACUCCCUAUGGGUAAAGCUAGAAACUUUACCCUUCUAAAUCUUAUUUUGGUUUAGAUCUGAGCUUUGGAACUCUUGGAGUCGAAGAAGGCAGCUUAAUGUGUUAAGCUGUUGGAACUCAGGCAAACACGACGUGUUUGCAAGUCAACAUGGCUUGUUGGCUGGGGUUUUCCCCAACUAUUUGGAUAAUGGAGAAACAUGGCGUGUUUGCAAGACAACAAAGUAGGGAUGUCAACGGGGGCAAACGAGACGGGGAGUGCAUCCCCCGCCCCCGCCCCCGAAAUUUCCUUGUNNNNNNNNNNNNNNNNNNNNNNNNNNNNNNNAUUUUUGGCCCCCUUUUUUUUUGGCUAAAAGAAGUUGUUAUUUACACUAAAAAACUAUUUUUUAGGUAACAAAUAAUUAUUUAUAGUAGAAUUUUACAUGUUAAAAAAAAUAUGACAUCUUAAAAACAUUAUACUAACAAUUUAAAAACAUGUUUUUUUUGAUGAAUUUUGGAAGCUCAAAAUCAUGUUAUAGUUUAUAAUUAAUAUAUGUAAAUAUUAGUGUAAUUUAUUAACGGGUUCCCCAUUGGGGUUUCGGGACUGGAUUGCCUACCUCCGCCCCGCCCUCAAAAUUAAAACGAGGGUUAACCUUGCCCCGCCCCCGCCCCCAAUUUUUUUUUAAAAAAUUUCUCCUAAAUGGGACGGGGCCCCAUGGGAACGAGGUCCCACGGGACUUUUUGACAUCCCUACAACAAAGCGUGUUGGGUCAACAUGGACAGUUAACCUUGACCUUGACUUCUGUCUUUGACCAAGUUUGACCUAAAGGGGUUGCUGAGGUAUUUUGAGUGGUAUAUAAGGAUUGGUUACUAUUUAGGUGUCGGGUUGAGCUGAUAUUUGGAGCCAGGAUCUAUUUCCACUAUCACUCAUAUUCAGAUGUGGGUUUCCUCAAUGGGUUUAACGGGUCGAAGGCACCAUUGUCGGCCCAUGUUUAUGCUAUAUUAGUAUGCUAGUUGUCUGCGUUGACUCUUGCAUGUGUUAUGUGCUUAUAUGCUUACCGGGUGGGGCCCGAUGAUCAUUUUGUAUGUUAUGUAUAUUUGUGAUUAUUGUAUAUGUAUGUGUUUACUUGAUAUAUGUUAUAUGUAUGAUGUGCGGGGCCCGAUCUAUUACCGAGCGGGGUUCAAUGUCGGGCGGGGCCCGAUACCGGAUGGGGUCCGAUGUCGGGCGCGGACCGAUGACAGGCGGGGCCGAUUAUGUGUUAUUAUGUAUGGUAUGUGGUAUUUUUGGGAACUCACUAAGCUUUGUGCUUACAGUUUUCGGUUUAUGUUUUAGGUACUUCGGUUCCAAGGGGAAGUGCUCGGGUUGACAGCAUCGCACACACCACAUGGUUUCUGCUUUUGAGAUAUCACUCUGAUUGUUAUGAUGUUGAGAUACUUAUUUUCAGUUGAGUUUUAUGGAUAAUGUUUUUGGAAUAUUGUUUUAUUUAAAUUAAAAAUAAAAUUUUUGGAUCAUAUUUUUGGGACGUUUCAAGUUGGUAUCAGAUCCUUGGUUUAAGGGAUUUGGGCACACUUUCGGGUGUGUCUAAACUUAAACUGAGGAUUUAGUAAAGUUUUUCAAAAAGAAAUAUAUUUUGAGAAAAGGGUUUUUCUAAAAUAAGAAAGGGUGUGGUGCAUGCAAUUAGUCGAGCUCAAGUAAGUUUUCCUAAAAUACUCAUACACGUUAUUUGAUAUGCUUUGAUCUGUGAAUUUAUGAAUCGCAUGCUAGUUAAGGCUAAGGAUAUGCUUAGUUUUUUCAUGAUAGGAUGCUAGGAGAGUUGCCUUUGUAUGCUCGUUGUAAGAGCUUGUAGACUUGCAUAAAUAAUCAAUUUAUAUCAAGUUGUUGUUAGUGUGACCCAUUAGUAUCAUAUGUUAAUUAGCAAUAUCAUUUUAAUAUGAUUCUUGAGCAUACUAGAUCUUUCAUGGCCUCCUUACCAGCCUCCAUUGCCACAAAAACCCUAAAAUAGAUCCCUAAGUCCAUUGGUGGUGUUCUGGAGCUAGUAAGAAGUUCUUGGUACUCCUUUUUGGCCUUUGUGAAGGAAGAGGAGAGAUUGAAGUUGUCUUGCUUGGUGGGAAGGCUUUGGAUCCAGAAUCAUCUCCUCUCGUGCAAGCUUUCUAAGGUAUCAAGUUUGAACCUUGACUUGUAGAUGUCUAGAUCUCUUCAUUUUGUGCUUUAUUAUGCUUUUGACCCCUUUUGGGUUGAUAAGAGAGUGAAAUCGUUUUUAAGGGAUUGUUAUUCCAUAUCUAAGUUUGUUUUGGACUCCUUGAGCAUAAAGGUGCAAGCUUUAUGAGUUAAUUGGUCACAUGCAUACUUUAAGUCACUUAUUAAUUCCUUUUUUAGCUUAAGAGCUUCAUUUAGACUUGCAUGAACGUAAAGUUGGUAACUUUACAUGGUUUUCCAACUCAAUGAAGUCAGGUCUAUGUCUUGGGGCUAUGUCUUCAAGGAUUAACUGCUUAUUGGUUAAGCCCUUGCUCUAUCAAGUCUUAUGAUACACAGAUGUGGAGUCAAUUGAUGGUUAUUCAACAAAAUUGAAAAUUAUGUUACCUGGUUAAGCUAUAUAGGUCCCAGUUUCUUUGUAAAUAUAUGCUUCCUUUUUCUCUUAAUCUUACAUGUAAGAAGAAUAGUUUGCAUUCCAUCUGAUACACAAUUGUGGAGUAUUUUAUAUUGUGAGAGGUGGAUUACUUCUUCAAGACUUGGAACACAAAGCAUAACCACUUUUGGAAUUAGAUGCUUGUAUUGAAAAGAAAAAAGGGACAUGACUAGGCCCUUGUUUCCUUUUUCCAUUUUAUCUGUCACCAUCUUCACUCUAUAAGCAGUUGGUAACAUUCAUAUUUGUUCUGUGGUUUUUACCAUUAUACCCCUGGGGACUGUUUUAUCUUGCUUUUACGAUUUUGCCCUUGGGGACUAUUUGAUGUUCUUGGGUGCUACUGAGGGGUUUACAUCUAAGGAUAAGCACUCUUUUGUCAUCAAUUUCUUUGAGGUUGAAAGCAUGUCCACUGUUAAGUGCUUCCCCUAUCCAAAGUAUUUGUGUUGGUCUCUUUGUUACCGGUUGCCUCUAAUUCUUAUUCCAUUUGUUCUUUUUACAAAGCUUCUCAUUCUUUUUAUUCUCCUUAUAAAAAUUCAAUAAUUAGUUAUUUUAAUUCAAAUUCAUGUACUAUGGCCUUGAAUAAUGACAAUGGGAAAAAUGUGAUUGGCCAGAUAAGUCGGUCAUGAUUUUGUGCGAUAUAUUAAAAAAAUAUAUCAUGAAGAAUGGUCGUACCACUCUAAUUAAAUGGCAAGACCUUCAGCCAAUUUUUGAAAAAGAUGCUAAUACCAAGUUAAAUAACUACAAAGUGUUAAAGAACAAGUAUGAUUGAAUGCAAAAAGGUUAUAAUCUUUGGAAAUCCUUAAAAAUUGGGGAGAUCAGUCUUGGUUGGAAUGAGAGUACAUGGCAACUAAAUUGUCCAGAUGAAUGGCGGGACAAAAAAAUUAAGGUAAUAAAUUUGAAUAUAUUUUUUAACUAAUGCAACUUUCUCGUUAUCUUGAAAACUAACAGAAAAACAUUAUACUAUAUAGGAAAACCCGAAUGUUAAGGGAAUUCGAAAAAACAACCUUCUUUAGAGCUACAAGAAGCAUGGGAUCAAAUAUUUAGGGAUGUGGUUGUGAGUGGUGCAGACUAUGUGGCACCAUCCAUGGAUCCAAAUACUCUCAAUGCUAUGCCUCAUGUCCUUAUUGAUGAUGAAAAUCCUACAAUGGGUGAUGAUGUAGCAACCAAUAAUCAUGUCCCAACUAGUGAUGACACUUUUUUCUCUUCUCAAAACCUUCGACACUCUUCUCACUUGGAUAACUUAGAAGAAGAAAAUGUCGAUUUUAUUCAAAUUUCAUGAAUUGGGUCGGCGGUGUCUUGUUACCGAACAAUUCUGGGGGAUCUACUCAACAUCAAAAGAGUUCCAAAGAAGUUCCAAAGUUAAACCUAUAGAGAUGAAACGUAAAAAUAGAGAAUCAGCUAGAUCUGUAAUGUUUAAGGGAUUUAUGACUCAACAAAAUGUCAUUCAAAAAUGUACUCUUGAACUAUUAGAGUCAGAUACAUCUACUGUCAAUCAAAGUCAUGAUUUUAGUAUAAGUGCAGCUAUAGGUUUGCUUAUCAAAUGGAUGAUGAUGGGAUAAUGAUAAAUGGGAGUGAGUUGUGGUGCUUUGCAAUGAGUUUGUUUGAAGAACCAGUAAAAAGAGAAUUGUUUUUUACUCUCCCAAAUGAUGCAGGUAGGCUAGCCUGACUGAAUUAUAAGAAUAACAUUGGUAACUAACUUUUUUUAUAUAAUUUCAUCGAUGAUUUAUUAUUGAUAGGAUUUGUUUUUUUAAUUUGAGUGGAUUAUUUCAUUUGGAUAUUGUUAUAUUUCAUUUUUUAAUGCUACAUAUUGGAUUUAUGAUGCCUUGUGUUAUGAUUAAUUUAGAGAUUAUAUAUGAUUUUUUCAUAUUUCAUGCUUAUAAUAAUCAUCUUAAAUAGGUGCUUGUGUUUGAAUGGAUAUUGAAAGAAAGAAGAAGAGAAGGAAACAUUAUUAUUCACAACGAUUAUCAGACUCAUUCUCUGCAAGUGUUCUAGCUGAUGCAUACUUUCUCAAAUAUAUGUAUAAGGAACCUUGUAUGACAUCAACUCAAACAGGAGUGUCUUGGAUGAAUGAAAUUUGAAUGGUCAUCCUAUUUGAUGCGUUAAUGCAUUUAGAAUGCACCCAAAUGUGUUCCUACAACUAGCUAAAGAACUUGAAUUACAAUAUGGAUUGGAGUCAAGUGUUAAAAUGCUAGUUGUUGAAAAGUUGGGGAUCUUUUUAUACACCCUUGCCUUAGGUGUGUCCAAUAGAGAUGUUGGGGAGAGAUUUCAACGACUUGGAGAUACGAUUAGUAGAGCUUUUCAUGAAGUUCUAGAAGCAAUAACUCCUAGAGGCAAAAGAUUCAAAGGUUUGGCACGUGACAUUAUACAACCAAAAGAUCCAACCUUUCAAUUUAUACCUUCACAAAUCAAGAACAAUAAAAGAUACAUGCCCUAUUUUAAGGUAUUAUAUUUAGAUAUUUCGUUUAAUUUUUUAAUUCAAUACUACAAUAUUAUUACUAGUUUUGAAAUUGCAUUUAGGAUUGCAUUGGAUGUAGUGAUGGUACAUACAUAGCGACAUGCAUCACUGAAGCUUAACAAUUGUGUUACAUUGGUAGAAAAGGGAUACCUACUUAAUGUAAUGGCAACUUGUGAUUUUGAUAUGUGUUUUACCUUUGCAUCUGUUGGGUGGGAAGGAUCUGCACAUGACACGCGUGUGUUCCUUCAUGCUAUUAACACGCCAUCAAUGAACUUCCCCAAACCACCUGAAGGUAAAUUAUCAUAAUUAUCUUCAUUAUUUUACUAUUAUUAUAUAAAUGAUGUUACAAUUUCUUAUUUUUCACCAAUUUAACAAAUAAAUAUUAUUUGGUUGAUAAAAGUUAUCCAGAUAGAAAUGGAUAUAUGGUUCCAUAUUCGAAGACAAGAUACCUUUAAUCUCAAUUUCAAAAUGAGCCUCCAACUAAUAUGCAAGAAGCUUUCAAUAGUUCUCAUUCAACACUGUGAAGUUGUUUUGAAAGAUCAUUCGGAAUCUUGAAGCAUAGAUGGAAGAUACUUAAUGGAAUGCCGAAAUUUAGUGUGCAAACUCAUAUUGACAUUAUUAUGGCCACAUUUGCUCUGCAUAACUACAUUCGUUUUAGCUAUGAGGAAGAUAUGAUUUUUAAUUUUGUUGCAGAACAUCCUGAUUGUAUACCAAUUGAUGAACUUCGUGAUGUUCGUGGUAGUGACACGAGUAGUGAAGAAUUUUACGAAGGAUCUAAUAAUAUGAAGCGUGUUCGUAAUGAUAUUGCGACUUUAAUAUGGAAUGCUUGGCGUAGAUGAUUUUAUUACUAGAUUUUUUAUGUCGUCGUAUGACUUUAGGUUUUGUAAUAGUACCUAGUUAUCAAAUAUUUUCUAGUUUUAAAAAAGAACAAUUUAGACAAUCUUUUUUUCAUUAUUAUGUUUCUAUUUUAUAUUUUACAAGAUGCCCUUUUAUGUAAUUUUACAUGUAUUAAACGCUUCCAGCUACUUUUGCCGAACAUUUAUAUAACAAAUAAAAGCAACAGCUACCCGUUAGUUUUGCCGAACACACCCUUAAACAGUUAAAAUCCGUUAAAAAUUCAUAACUUUGUCAUCCGACGUCCGUUUUCAUCUGUCUUUAUAUUGUUAAGUUCUUAUUAACGAGAUCUCCAAUUCUCGUUUAGAUUGUGUCAGCUACAAAUCGAUCGUUCUAGAAGUCGAAUUCCGGGCUACAUAUUGAUAUGUCAAAUCUUAGAAAAAUCAUAACUUCCUCAUACGAAGUCAUAUUUUGAAGUUCUUUUUAUGCAUACUCUCGGUUUAACAUAUACUACGACUUUCGUUUAGAACGCUAAGGUUAAAAAGUAUUUUAUCGCAAACUCACUUUUUACGAUACAUAGCGUCAUGUCGGUUUUGUCAUAAAACUUCGACGGGUCAUAACUUAUUCGUUAUAAGUCGGAUUUUAGCGUUCCUUAUAUCCCUGAAAUCCUUGUUACGACUAAUUCAACUCUCUUCAUAGAUAUUCGGUCAAAUCUGACUUCGCUUGAGGAAAAGGCAUUUGCUAAAACUUAGCGAUAAUAAUGUCAGGUUACGCUAAAGGAAAAGACAUUUGCUAGAAGCGAAGUGCUUCCCGAAUUUCGCAUUGUCACUUUAACAAGUGAGUGUAUAUUUAUUUUCAUCUUACACAUAGAUAUGAAGUAUCUGGAUAAUUACAUGCUUAUGUGCUUAUUAUCUAUGUCGUGAAUAUUAUGUGUUAGAUAAGAUAUUAUGUGAUGAUGUUUAACGGAUUUAAUCAUAUAAGUAUUAUAUACUUACAAAUAUGUAUUGGGUAGCAACUGGUGAUAAGAGAUAUGUGAUGGUAGAUAUGCGAUGACGAAUAGGUGGUGCGAGAUAAGAGAUGAUUAGGUGAUGUCAUAACCUUGACCUGCGAUGUUGCGAUGUAGUCAUCUACCAAAGUAUUGACCACUAACUAAUAUAAACAAGUCAUGUGGAAACACCAACUGACUCAUAACCUAUAGGUGAUGAAUUACGAGUUCAGGAGAUGUAGUAACUACGUAUUCAUGCAAUGAUGCUCUAACCCUUAUUAGACACAUACUGGGGGAGUAAUCCCCAAAUCAGUAUUGUCUAUGCAAUGUAGGCAAUGAUCCUUAGGAAAAGUCCUUAGAAACAAAUAAGGAAAUGCGAUGAUGAUAGGUAAAUACGAUGUAGGAGAUGACCCUUAGGCUAAGUCUUUAGGGAAGAUUAAAUAAAGAGAAUGAGGAUGGAUAAUUGGAUUAAUUGUUUGACAUGAAAUAUGUAAAGAAACAAAUUAACUAUAUUAUUGUGGGUUGAAAAACCCUAUAUACUCAACAGAUUUUCCAACCUAAACCACUCAGUUUAUUUUAUCACAUGUGGCUAUAUGAAAGAUAUAUUAUGUUGAGAGAUUCAAGGAUAUUAGGCCACUAGUUUAAUUACUGUAAGGCUUGUAAUAUUUCUUUAUGCUUAUGUUUCUAUAUUGACGAUGACAUCCCAAUGAUAUAAAUAAAAAUAUAUUUCUUCAGAAAUGCUUUGAUAAUACCAUUAUCAUGUUUUCUGGGAACAAAUUUCGCAAUACUACUUUUCAAAAAGGAUACUUUGAUUUUUAAAUAAACAUAAACAAAUCGGUCUUUUCUGACCGUGAAAAUGGGGAUGUCAUAACUACCCUCUUUCUUUCUCUUCUGCUACUAUAAUCAUCACCUCUCUUUUUUGCCGUUAUGACCGCCAGAGCCGUCACCAUGCUCGUCGGAUGCAGCCAGGGCUUUAGAGUUGUUGUAAGUUGACGUUGACAAAGGCGAUCGGGGGACAUUAACAGAGGUUGCCGGAUGAUCAAUUUACAAAGCCACCCCAUUUUCAAUUCGUACUCUCUGGUAAUAUCGGUUUACAACACUGUCGCCACCCACGAUCAUACCACCAUAGAUCAUUCUAUUUCUAGAUCAAGAAACCCUAAUCCACCCGUCAUGAAAGAUCUUGAAAACCCUUAUCCACCUACCGCCGCGAGAAGACCCUAGUCGAUCCUACAUUUUUUUGUUGCUUGAGGCAUAAACCAAGGGUUUUUAGCGCCACCUUCACCGGAGCUACGUAUCUGGGUUUCAACCCCACCAGAGCUAUAGAUCUAGAUUCCUUCUUCAUCAAAAAAUUGAGAGUUUUCCAGGAGGUUCAACACCAGUGGUGGCGUUCACAUCUUCUAGCCGCAGGUGGCGUUCAUAUGUUUGUCUUUAUAAAAACUUACACUUUAGACUUUUUUUUUAGUAAAACUUCAUAUACAUCUUUUAUUUAUUUAUUUAUAGUUUUACAAAUUCAUCCAUUUUUUUACAAAUUUUCAUAAUUUCUUUGUACAACUUUGAGUUAUGUUUUUUAAGACUAAAUUGCAAAAAAAGGUCCCCAUAGUUCAUCGAAAAUUACCAUUUUGGUCCAAAAAAAUUUAAACUAACACUACUCGUUUGAAAUAGGUUGUUUGUUGUGGUUUUAGUCCUGAAAAUUUUGUAAAAAAUAAUAAUGACUAAAUUAUGCUAAAAUUGUAAAAGAAGUAAACCAAAUUCGUAAAAAUAAAUUGGUUCUAUAUUUGUCAAUGAGAAAAGUCAAGGGACUAUAAUUGAUUCUGGAACUUGAUCGGGUCCGGUUUACUCCAGAUUUGGAACAUGGGUGUUUCAUGGCUUUUUUGACAUGUGUGUAUAAAAAGGAAAUUAUGCCUACAAAAAAAUGGAACCCUAGUCUCUUGGCUGCUGACGGGAGUCUCCGUAUCGUUGAGCUAGCAGUGAUUACGCGUAAAUCCUAACAUGUAACUAAUGUAAACACUUAACUGAAAGUUACUGUUAAUGAAUAAUGAUAUGUUGCAAAUCGUAUGGACUAUAUAAUGUGACAAGACUAUGAAUGUUUUGAAACGUGACACAAAUAAAUUUGAAAUAUAACAUUAUAGGUAUUAUGUAUGAACAUACUUGAACCCUUGAUCUCAACAAUAGAGGGCAACAUCGGAUACCGCUGAACUAGAAGCCUUUUACGGGAAACAUAUGUUAUUUAUCUAGCAUAUUACUAAGUGUAAUGCUUCCUCUUCACUCCAGAAUUUUGGAGUACAUUUGGCAAUUGUUGGGGGUUUUAAAGCAUCUAAUAGACAUAUAUUUUAUUAUUCUUUAAAAUGAGUUUCGCUAAUCAGUUUUUUGAGUCUUUUUUUUGUAUUAAAAGGUCAUGGGAGCGAAUGACAUUAUAUAAUAUACAUAGAUUAGAUCAUUUUAUCUUUUUAAUAUUUAGUACAAAACACUAUUAUGCAGAUAACUGAUGAUAGUGACAUCAAAUAUUUUGUAAGUUUAUUACUAGUUUGCUUGUAAAUACAACGAUGUUGUUUGUUCUCAAUAUUGUUGUUUAACGUGGGAGUAACCAAAUGGUUACAUAUAAAUCUCCUACUAAACUUAGAAAUCGAUUGAUUUGGAAAACUAGUGUGACAAAAAUUGGUUUGAUGUCGGAAGUAAUCAAGUAUGCAAUUUAUUUUCUUGUUAUAAUGAUUACAAACAUGAAGUACAUAACAUGUGAAAGAGGUGGAAAUGUGCAUAUUUCUCUACGGAAAGGUAAUCAUGUUGUUUAAAACGAGCAUAUGUACGAGGGUGAUGAAUCAACAAAUAGAUAUCAAUUUGUUGUUGUUGAUUGAUGAUUCAAACCUAUGUCCACAUGGAGGAGCUGUUGGAAAAUUAUGAAGGUAUAGCUUACCUCGGUAAGGAUCAUUCUAAUCAUAGUUAUUCUAUUAAUGAUAAUUAUGAAUGUUAUUAAUUUGAUGAUGAUAAACCAAAAACUUAUUUCUAAGGAAUGACUUAUCCAAUACCAUUACCAUAAACUGUUUACAAAUCUACCCCAACAUUACAACACACAUCAAAGUAUUUCAAGUGUUCAAACAUAAAGAAUAUAUUAAACUAUGAUUAGGAAUAAAAUGUAUUGAAGAGAUAUUUGAGAUUGAAACCAUAAAAUCUACGAAAAAUAGGCAUAAAGUUGUAUGUUGUGCUAGAGAUCGUAAAUGGAAAAUCAGGGGAACAAUAAAUGAAAGUACUAAACCUUUUCAUGUUCAUAAGCUAGUGGAAUAACACACUUAUUCAAAAACACAACUAGUUUGCAAAUUCAUUUGAGUGUCUUGAUUGAUGGUCCAAUAAUUUAAAGACUCGUACAUUUCAAAAUGCUUUGCGAGCGUUAAUCAUAAUAGAUAGUCAGGAACCAUGUUCGUAAUGGUUUUCAAAAUGCUUACAACCAUUGAUCAUAAUAGACAGUUGAGAACCAUGUCCGUAGUUGUUUUCAUGGACAUAAACAACCAAGUCUUACCAUCGCCUUCAUAGUAAGAAAAAUAUAAAAUGGACAUGUUAUGAAAGACAUGCAAGAUGUACUAAAUAUCUAAUCUCUAAGAAAGUUUGCAUGACCAACACCAUGAGAUUCCAACUCAAUAUGCAUGGUUAGAUGGUGUCGGUCUAUAAAAUAAACAAGGUCAUGCUUUCGUGGGGUGUGUUAUAAUACAAUGAUCUCAAAUAGUGUUGAGUCUUCAAUGUGCUAUCAAUAGAUGAGCGGAGCCUUUAGUUUGCACUACAAAACCUUCAACCUUUAUGUUUUUUAAUUUGGAGAACAAAGGUUCUACAUUUGCCAAAAGAAGGUUAUGUGUUUGCAAACCGAAGAUUAUGCUGCUAAUUGAAGGUUCUUCAUAUGGUAACUUGAAACUAACAAACAACAUACAGUAUAAUUUCUAAAGAAUUUGUUGACAAUAAUAUUAUUGAUAUGACUAUUUAAUAGAAAAGUUGAAUCUCAAAUGAAUCCAAUGAAAUUAUUAUCAAUCAAAUAUCAUUUGAAAUGAAAACAUUUCUUAUAAAGCCGAUAUUAUAUUCAAAACAUAAACCGUUGUUAUUAACCUACUAUAAUCUUUAAUCAUCCUAUAAAUAAAAUUUGAUAUGCAUUUUAUCAACAAGAAUUGGAGAUGAUAUUCUCUCUUUUUGUUUUGAAAUAAUCAAAUAUUUUGAUGUUAAAAUGUUCAAAAAUAAUAAGAAAAAGAAAAGGAAUUAUAAGUCAAAGUGAAAAAGUCGGUCCGAACGAAAAGAUUUGUCAAAUGUGAGGGGUUUCGUUUCUUCGGAAAAAAUAUUGAGUGUUUUUUUGGAAAAAAAUUAUGUAAAACCGAAAGAUUACCGGUAAACUUUGAAAAAGCUAAAUCAAAAAAUAUAAAAAAAUAAAAGUAAAAUAACAAAUAGAAAAAAAUCAAAAAAUAUAAGAUCUUUUAUAUACACUAUUAACCCUUAAAACCCGAAAGAAAACUAGUGGUAUAAAGGGCUAAAAUGAAAUUGGGCUAAAAUGAAAUUGGUAUAAAAUGGAAGGUAGUUAUUUGAAAGGUCAACAGCAUGUGGGAAGUGGUCAUAUGCGGUGUGCCGUGGUAGUUGGGGUCAAGUCCAUAUUGUCAUUACUUUUUGACUCUUGAUUUUACAUUCUCUAGAAGAUUUCUAAGUACAAAAUAUAUCAACUUUUUAAAGGGUGUAUUUAUAUUUUUAUUUAUUUAUAAUAAUUAUACUUUUCUUCUAUAAUAAAUAUAUUUUUAUUUUUUAAAUGAUAAAAAUAUACAAGUCAUUUUACUUAUAACAAUAGUAAGUAAUAAAUAAGCUCAGUUAUUUUUGUUGGGUAUCAAGUUAUGUUUUCCCUUUUAAAAUCGAAAAUUUAAGUUUCGUUGUAGAUAUAUGUGAAAUUAAAUUUAAAUUUAGGAGUAAAUUAAAUUUGUUGUUCAAAAAAACUUACAUUGGUAAAUGGUUUCAAAUAUAUUAUAAUUAGGGCUAAUUACUAAUCUAGCUGUUUUUCUUAACCACUUAUUAAAAAAUAGCCAAAAUAUAUCAAUUAGCUAAAAAUAGCCCUCAAAACCAUAGUCAACUUAGGGUUGACUAUGGUCAACGCCUUUGACUGAUGUUUUAUUGAGAAAACUACUGUUUUGUGUUAAUGGGCUACUGUUUCAUCGGCCCGUUUACUUUUUGUGGCCCAUUAGCCCAAAGCAUAUAAAGAAAUUUUUUUUUUCAGAUUAGGUCAUUUUGUCUAUUGUUUUCUUUGUUUUGCCUUCUUUUUUCUCUCAAUGGAGCACCCGAAGAACAACUAGGUUUGUCUACUUUUCAUCAAAAUUUUACCGUAUUUGUGAUUAGGAGUAGCUUUUAUAAAUGUGGUUAAAUUUUUUUUUGAAAAAAACGAAAAAAAAAAUAUAUAAAACCGUAGGUUUCAUACGAAACCUACGGUGUACAAGUUCCCAAUGCACAUAUUGUGCAUUGUCGACUUGUACACCUACGGUUUCGUAUGAACCGUACGAAAAUUAAAUUUUUUUUUCGUUUUUUUUAAAUCAAUUCAAUGGAUCAGAAUUAUGUUAAUUUUGUAAUCGUGUAUUUAAAAAAAAACCAUAGGUAUUAUGGAAACCUACGGUGUACAAGCAUUUACUGCGCAUUUUGUGCAGUAAACACUUGUACACCGUAGGUUUCCAUAAUGCCUACGGUUUUGUAAUUUUUUUUUAAAUAACUAAUAAACAUUUUUUUUAAAAUAACUAUUUUUUUUAAAUAACUAAUGUCACACCGUUUUUGUUAAAUAACUAAUGUCACACCAUUUUUGGAAAUAAUAGUAGAUAAAACCCCCAAAAUAGUAGAUAAAAAAAUAAAAAAUAAAAAAAAAAUAGUAUUUUUUUUAGACAAAAUAAUAGAUAAACCCCCAAAAUAGUACAUAAAAAAAGUAGUUUUUUUCGCCAAAACUGUAGCCUACGGUUUGGGAAACCGUAGGUAUUAAAGAGAAAACCGUAAGUUAUAGAUUACCUACGGUUUUGUAUGUGAAAAAUAAUUUUUUUUUAUACAAAACUCGAAACAGUAGGCGAAUCUCGAAACCUACGGUUUUGUGGGCUAUUUUUGGCUAUCUACUAAUUUUUGGCUAAAAAUUACUAAUUACCCCUUAAUUUAGCUAGAUUAGUAAUUACCCCUUAUAAUUAUCUAUCCAAUAUAAACUAUAUUUUUUUAAAAAUAUGCUUUGUUGUUAUUAAGUAUAAAAAAAUAUAAAAUGUAUCAAUAUUAUAAGUAACAAAUUAAAUAGCCAUAUAAGUAGUAAAGGUAAAAUACAUUGUUAUUAUAAGCAACCUGUCCUUUUUUAUUGAUCGGUUCCAAAAAAGUUGAUUUGUUAUAUAUAAUAGUUGUGAGACCUAUGUAUUAUAUUGGUUAAUUUAAUAUAUAUAUAUAUAUANNNNNNNNNNNNNNNNNNNNNNNNNNNNNAUAUAUAUAUAAAGGUCAAAAUAUUUUAAAAUUUUGAAUUUAUAAGAAAAUAAGAAAAACAAUGAAUUAUUAUAAUGGAAAUGUUUUUUAUCUUUUAAGUUUAAACAAAUAAUUUAAAUAAAUAAAAGAAAUUAAUGACAUUUAAUUUUGGGAAUUUUGAAAUUAAAAGACAAGUUUAUUAACAAAAUUAAUAUUCAUUUAUUGCUACAUUUAUUACAAUUAUUACAUUAACAUAUUAUGUAAAAUUUAAUAAAAUAAAAAAAGUUUAUAAAAUAACAUGUGGAAAAAAAUUAAUUCAAAAUAACUACAAAAUGACAUUUUACAAAUUGAAUGAGAAUGAGACAAGUGACAAAAAACUUUCAUUUAUUAAAGAGCAUAUAUAUUUCUAAAUAAUUACAUGCUAAAUAAUGUCUUUGACGAUUUUCACUUGUUUGACUAAGGGGUCGUUUGAUAGUUGCUAAUUAGGUUAGAACUGACUGAGUUAGAAGCUAACUGGGUUAGAAGUUCUGACUGAAUUAACUUCUGAUUGAAACUUGUUGUUUGAUUUUGCAUCUGACUGACUGUGUAAAAUGACUAUAUUACCCUCAAACAACAUUUUUUUUUAUAAAAAUUCCUUUAUGAUUUACCAUUUAAUUUAUAACAUUACAUUUUUAUAAAAACAUUCAAAAUUUUGAAAAAUAUCCAUAUUACCCAUUGAUGGAAAACUUUAUAUUGCACAAAAAAUAGCAAUGAAUAUUAUUAUUCUUGAUUCUAGAAAAUAUGCAUUUUCCAUUUCCCCCUUUUUUUUCCAAAAUGUUGAUUAAAGAUGCUUAAAUCUUGAUGACAUUAGGCAGAAAAUGCAAGUUUUUUUCUCACAAAAACUUUGAUCAAAGAUUUGUAGUGUAAUCCUCAUAGACCACUUAUGUAUUUCACUAUUUAUGCACUUUUAUGCAAUUGAUCAUUUAGACUGAAUCUAAAGAAAAUAACCAACCUCAUAGACCACUUAUGCAAUUGACCAUUUAUGUAAUUUUAUAUAAACUCCAUAUUCAAGAAAGCUUGAAACCAACCCAAUAACUUUUUGGUAGAAAAAGAGAUUCCAUCUAUGUUUACAACACUAGUGUUUUCAUAAUAAUAAUCACAAAUCAACAAUUAUUCAGAUGUAUAUUACUAUUACACCUUUCUCACUACAUUCAAUAGGGAACAAAAUUCCCAUAUCCACUUCCCGUUUUACGCAUACACCCUUUUCUCAUGUUCAAUUACUUCCCUGCAAUUCACAUUCACUCCAAAAGCAUUCAUAAUCACCAAUGAUUUCAUAAGAACAUAAACAUGAUUAGUUCAAAAACGUUUUUAAAGAACAUCUUACGUGGGAAACAAUGAAGGUGAUCGAUCAGAAAAACGAAAUACAGGAGAAAGAGCAUGCCGCACCUAAGUUGGAGGAAGGGUGGUCAGAGGCUGCGUGAUCGGAGGAAACCGACAUAGGAAGAGGAAGGAGGCUAUGAAGGAAUACGACGGAUGCUAUGAAAUCACUUUCUUCUUUCGAUCUGUGCUUUUUUGUAGAGGAUUGUUUAGGGCAUAACGAGAAUUGAUUAUUUUGGAGUCGAUGUCCCAGUCCUUCACUCUAGAAUAAGGGACUGAUUCAACAUAUUUCUUUGGACCGAGUCUAAGGUUUGGACCGAUUCCAACCUUUUAGAAGAUGUGUCAAACAUUCCAAUUGAGUUUUUUGGUCCCAGUCCACUCUUUGGACCCAAUUAGAAGGGAAAUCAAACAGACCCUAAUUUGGUCAUUUUAUGUUAUAUUAUUUGAUUAUUUUGGUUUGCUAAAGAAUAAGGGACUGAUUCAACAUAUUUCUUUGGACCGAGUCUAAGGUUUGGACCGAUUCCAACCUUUUAGAAGAUGUGUCAAACAUUCCAAUUGAGUUUUUUGGUCCCAGUCCACUCUUUGGACCCAAUUAGAAGGGAAAUCAAACAGACCCUAAUUUGGUCAUUUUAUGUUAUAUUAUUUGAUUAUUUUGGUUUGCUAAAGAUAAAACUUAAUCAAAAGUAUUAUUUAUAAAUAAUCNNNNNNNNNNNNNNNNNNNNNNNNNNNNNNNNNNNNNNNNNNNNNNNNNNNNNNNNNNNNNNNNNNNNNNNNNNNNNNNNNNNNNNNNNNNNNNNNNNNNNNNNNNNNNNNNNNNNNNNNNNNNNNNNNNNNNNNNNNNNNNNNNNNNNNNNNNNNNNNNNNNNNNNNNNNNNNNNNNNNNNNNNNNNNNNNNNNNNNNNNNNNNNNNNNNNNNNNNNNNNNNNNNNNNNNNNNNNNNNNNNNNNNNNNNNNNNNNNNNNNNNNNNNNNNNNNNNNNNNNNNNNNNNNNNNNNNNNNNNNNNNNNNNNNNNNNNNNNNNNNNNNNNNNNNNNNNNNNNNNNNNNNNNNNNNNNNNNNNNNNNNNNNNNNNNNNNNNNNNNNNNNNNNNNNNNNNNNNNNNNNNNNNNNNNNNNNNNNNNNNNNNNNNNNNNNNNNNNNNNNNNNNNNNNNNNNNNNNNNNNNNNNNNNNNNNNNNUAUAUAUAUUACCUUAUAAAGCAUCUUUGGUCAAAUGCUGAAUUUUAAGUCGUCCAAAACUUAUUGCAUUAUUUACAAUCACUUUAUGAAUCGGUUGAGAAGAUAGAUCAUAUCCGGUAAAUGAUAGAAAAAGUCAAGAAAGCUUAGGUUGAAUACGCAACCGUGUGCAAUUUUUUUGGAAAAUAUAUCGGCUUUUGACCUGGCUUUCUCAUUUGAAUUCACCGGUCGCCGCUACAAAAUUCAUACGCAUUCACAACAGUCCCAUGUCUCCCACCCAAAUUUGUUUCGUGUUAACCCCAACGACAAAACUCGACAGCCACCGCCAACCACCACUCUUGCAUUGCUGCUAAACCGACCGCUUUCAUCCCCUCAUCGUCUGGUAAACCCACCACCAUCAUCAUGGCGUUAUACCACUCAUUACCACCGUCGGAGCACCGUUACACCGAAGUUUCUUCUCUCUGAAAACCCUAGACCCUUCACCACUCUCUGUAUAAAACCAUCAUACGCACACAAUUUCUUGGUAAAAGAUCGAGGGAGAUGAAUCCAUCUAAAAAUGCUGAUGUUUUGCUUUUUCAAUCCAACGAUGACUGCUGAUUUAUGGCUUAUUUGAGAAAUGUAAUGAUGUUUGAGUUUUAGGUCUUUUAUUGCUUAUAAUUAGACCCAAUUUAACAUGUUCAUAGUGUUUCUCCUCCUGCUUCUUAUCUCAGAUCCGUUGUCUACAUGUCAUGUAGGGUUCUUGGGAUGCUGGUAAGAAUCUAUCUUCUUGAAACUCUUUCUCUCUAUUUUUUUCUCUUUAUCAUGAUUAUAUGGUGAUUUAUGCUUCCUUUUAUUUUGUUUUUGUUGGAUUAGUGUCUAAGUCCAUAACUAUUUUGGUAUGUACUUGACUUGAUGGUGCAUGGUCCUUUUGGGUUGCCUUCACCAAAGCAACUUGAUAGGAUGAAUAAUGGAGAGAAAGGAUUAAAUAUGAUUUAUUAAUAUAUUAUGAGAAUAAUAUAUUAAAGGAGAAAUCAUAUUGUUUAAUUAAUAUUAGUCAAGAAUUAAUAAGAAUUAAGUUUGUGACUAAAAGAGAUUAAUUAAACUUAAGGGACUAGAAUUGUAAUUAUAAGAUAAUUGCAAUUGGGCUAUGGAUUGCCUUAUAUUAUAAGGUUGGACGAAUUCUAUGGGGAAACCCAUUGGAAAUCGUCCAAGGCCUUUAAGGAAAGGAGUCCAUGGGUUGCUUAGGGCUUAAGCAUCCAAAUUAGGGUUUCCUUCUUAGAUAACCCUAAUAGCCUCACUAUAUAUAGAACCCUUAUGCUCCAAAAACGUGGUGAACUAAUUGUUUAGGGUUUCCACACGUUUUUGGGUGUCUAUUCUCUUCUCUUCUUAAUCCUCUUGCUCUUGGUGUUUGUGAACCAUUAGAGGAGUGACAUUUGUGACUCUAAGCUUUCUAAAGUCAUUACAAGAAGGAAUUGUGAUUGUUAUUGCUACAUAACAAUCAAGGUAAUAUCUUAAACCCAUUCUUAUGUUAAUAUGAUUACUUGUAUGCUAGAAUUAGGGUUUAUAGUCUUGGAUAACUUGCAUGUACAAUAGAGAAACCUAGAUCCAAGCAUUAGGGUUUGUAUGAGCACAUAGGAUGUUCUUAUGACCAAAACCCAUCAGUGGUAUCAGAGCCUAGAUUGGUUUCUAUUGUAUUGAUGCCUUGUAUGUUUGUUCAAGUUGAAAAAUUCGAUUUUUGUGAAACUGCCUGAUGAACUCGGCGAGUCCCAUUGUGGACUCGGCGAGUAGGCCCCUACUCGGCGAGUCCAUAUGGGUACUCGGCGAGUUCGAGCGUCAGAAAGAGGGGAUUUCGGGAUUUCUUGCUGUUUUUCUCAUGGAUACUUGCCUUAUCUGUUUUAGAUCAUUAAAAUCCGAUUUUAUUCAUAUUUUUGAGUAUAUCCUUGAUUAAACAAAAGAUAAUUACCAAUUGAUUAGAUAAUAACUUCCUUAUAUGAUUAAAGUUGAUUAUUUGUAUUAAUUGGGUAACUUAUUUUGCAAGAAAUUGAAAUUAGGUCAAAUAUAGAUAAUGAUGAAAUUAAUUGUUUAAUUUAUAUUAUUUGUUAUUUGAUCCUUGUGUUAUGAAAAGUUUCAAUUUUCCCCUUUAGGUUUUAUAGUUUAAAUUUGAACUCAAAAGUUUUGUUUUGAAAUUUAAAUAGUUGAAACCCUAAUGUUUUGAAAAGGUUUCAAAACUUGCCCUCAAGUUUUGGAAUUUAAAUUUUGAUUAAAAGUUUAAUUUUGAUGUAUAUUUAAAUUCUAAACCCUAAUGUUUUGAAAUGUUUCAAAACUUGCCCUCAAGUUUUGGAAUUUAAAAGUUGAUUAAAAGUUUAAUUUAGGAAUGUUAAAUUCUAAAACCCUAGUAUUGUUUUGAAAAGUUCAAAUCACACCCUUAUGGUUUUAUUAAUUAAUUAAGGUGUAUAAUUAAAAGAGGUUUAAUAAAUCCAUAAAAGUUUUGGUUUACAAUUUAAUUGAAUUAAAAGUAUAAUUGUUAAAUUUGACCACCUAGUAUUUUAAAAGUGUAAAAUACACCCUAUACUAUAUAUAACAUUAAAAGUCUAACAUUAUAUAUAUGUAUGAGUAAAAGUCAGUCUUACCGUUAGUAGGCCUCAUUCACGAAGCUGGUCUAUAAGGGGUGUUUAAGGAAAUUGCCUAUAAAAUGGCGAUUGAAUGGGUAUCCACUCUUACCCACCGCACUCUUGACUAGUGGAGGGUCGUUAGCCGAACGGGUAGGAUAGGACAAAACCUUCCAUUAUAAGUAUAAUGAAGUACAAAAGUAACUAAAUGUUUUACAAAUUCCCAAUCUUAGUUACUUAGGCAAAAGUGAAUUGAUGCAAUUCCAUGAAAUUACACUUUGUGCCCUUGCGAAGACGUUAGUGGAGCGUGUGUGGUUUACCGGCACACUAAAUGGUUCUAAGCAAAGGUAGCAAAGGGUGACUCAAUGUUUGUCAUAGUUCGGUGGAGCGUGUGUGGUUUACCGGCACAUCGAAUAGGUGACUGUAACAUGUGAGGGCACCAUGUAAGUUUGCAUGGUUAUUCACACCCGCUUUGUGAUCCUCGGCAUCCCAGUCACAAACAAGAGGGGCAUAUCGAGAUUUAAACAUGCCAUUGAAAGUUCAAUGAAUCUCAAAGGAUCUAGGAGUUUUCAUAGAUUUAAAACUUAAAUUUCUUUUUCGUUUUUCAUGGUGGAAAUUAGUGAAUCGUCAUUCACUUACCUUCAAAUAUUCUGCAAUUAGGGUUACGGCAUCCCUCUCCCGAGUUGUAGAAUAUUGUGUUGGGUCCUAGCCUUAGUAUCUCAUUUGGGUGAUUUACUAAGGACUCAAUCAAUCAACUAACUUGAAUUCGUUUUCUCCCGUUUUGUAGAUGUCAAAGUUCGACAACUAUGGUCUUCCCAAAUCCCGUGGAACAAGCAUUCCACAUGAAGAUGAUAUUCCACGAUUCGAUCGAGGAACAAGAAAUCAUGCUUCACUUCCUCCUCCUCCUCCAAUUAUUCUCCCUAACCCACAAGUUCAAAGGCUUGAAAAGUUCAAGAUCACUCAAGCCCUUUUGGCAAGUAAACAUAAAGAAGGAAAGUCGGUGUGUGCACACGUCCUAGGGAUGAAGUCACACAUUGAUAGGUUAAGAAUGUUGGGAUCCGUUGUCUGUGAGGAAAUGGCUGUUGAUUGGGUUCUUCAGUCACUUCCUAACUCAUAUAGUGAGUUCGUAAGAGAGUACUAUAUGAUGAACCGCGACGUGACCCUUAUAGAUCUCACCUAUAUGCUUAUUGCUGCUGAAUCAGCAAUGGUUUGGCGCAAUAGAAAAGCAAAGUUGAUUGGUGAAUCUGCCUUCAAGACCUCUAUGGAUAUAGACAAUGGCAACGAAAGACAUGCUAUGAUCGAAAAGUUUGAUCAUAAGAGAAAGGCAAUGUCUGAAGUAGUUCCAUGUCAUGUUCCAAAAGAGUCAAUUUGCUUUUAUUGCCAAGAGAAAGGGCAUUGGAGACGAAGCUGCCCCAUUUACCUAAGAGAUCUAAGAGAUGGGAGAGUCGAAACGUAUGGCUCUAAUAUAGGUAAAAUCCAUUAACUAACUCUUUUAAGCUUCUAUUCUAGAUUCUUAAUACAUAAUGUGAUAAGAUUACAAUUGAUGUUUUGUAGGAUCGAAGAAAAGAAAGGAAGCUUAAGGGAAGAAGUGAGCAGAAUCUAACCGUGAAGGAAUGGAUUUCGAUCGCAUUUCUCGAAGAUUAGAUUCUUGAGCUACUACUUAGAGUUAGAAUUAGAUUGCUAAGAAAGAUGUAUUAGCAUAGUUUUUCAAUGAAUUGCAUUGUAAGGACAAAUUUUUUCCGCAAUAAAAUAAAUUUUGAUUUUAUAUUAUUUAUUUAUCCUUGCAAUGGCGUAUAUGAAAAAUUGAUGUUUGAAUGUUUCUAUUAUUAGCAAUAAUGGAUUUGGUUCUUAUUAUGUUAUUUAUGGAAAGUCGAGAGUUUACCAAAUAGGGAGAGUUUCUCAUCGCCCAAGUUUCAAUUGGACAGAAACUUGGAAUCAUGCAACUUGGUUGCACGAUGAAUGAGAAAUUUCAUAUUUGGAAAUUAGACUAAUUCAUUGACAAAGUGUCAAGUGAAGGACUAGGAGAUCGAGUACACAAAGUUGCGUGUUGAUCAAGUCCACCAUAAGAGUAACAAAGAUAUUCGUCAUGAUUUACUAAAGGUUUAGUAAAUAUGAUUAUACUUACAAGAUUAAGUGUAAUUCUGAAUUGAUUGAAAAAGUUUAAAUCAAUAGCAGAACGAAUAAGAAGAAUCAAGUAGGCAGAAAGAUAAAAGUUUCUCCAUUCUAAGAAGAAGGGAGAGUACCUUUUAUGCUUUAUGAUAGGUCUUAAUGAUUAAGAACCAUAUCUCAAUUGAUCCUCUAAGUGAGUCUUAGUACAAUUGUAUGUCUAAGAAGAGGAAUCAAGAAUUGAAGAAAUGGUUAAAUCAAGAAGUCAAUCAUACUUCGUUCCAAAACAAGUCUUAGAGUUAAGAUUGUGACAUUGAGUGAAAAGUAUUAAGAAGGUUUAUAACAUUCAUCAAAUGUGGAAAGUUGUGAUGUCUUGGAUAAGACAAAGACCAACUAGGACCAAUUUAUGAAGUGUUUUGAUAAAAGCUACACUAACUCUUGAAUAUUUGUUUGUCAAGAAAUGUUUAUUGACAAGAGAAUCUUAUAUGUCAAGGAGUCAGUGGGAGUCUUAAUGGUCUUGAAAGGUUUCAAGAACAAAUCAAAAAAACCUUAUCGAUCAUCACUAGCACACGAGUUGAGGUUUACAACCUAUCGUGUUGACAUUAUUUUGUUUCUGUGCCAAUCCAAUCGAGUUAAUUAUGCAUGUGAGUUCUAUGAGUUCUCAUUUUGAACGCAUAAAAGGCAAAGCACCUUAAUCAAUGAAAGGUACAUUGAUAGGAAAGGGUGAGCUGCUUAACUACUUGGAAGACAUGGUGGGCAGCUGUGUUACCAUAAGGCAAGAAAUCAAGAUUAAGAAAGUUCGGUCCAUAUGAGUUUGAAUUUGUCGUAAACUUUGGUUUUAACAAAUUCACAUGGAUAGGAACACAUACACCGUUUAAAUCUAAGUGUCAUAAGAUUUCCUCCUUCAUGAAAAUGAUUGUGAGGAAAUGCUUUCACUAAGAAAGAUUUUAAGAAGAUAGUGAUUGUAAAAUUGCAUUCUCGAAUUCGAUUAUGGUUACGGUAUCCCUUUCCAUGAUUUGAAUUGUGAGGUUUGGCAAUUGGUCUUAAGUGUUUAGACACACAUAUGAACUAUCUAAGGCAAAGGUGUAUAAGUUCAAGAAGCCUUGAUAAAAGAUUAUCAAAGCACUAAGUAUUAGAAACAUGAACUUAAGAAAUUCAAUAAGCAUUGUUUUUCUGAAAGUUAAGAUGUUUAUGAAUACAUGUCGAAGCUAGUGGGAGCAUAAGUGUUAUGUUUUAUAAUAAUCAUCAUGAUAGUGGGAGCAUAAAUGUUAUGAUUGUAUGAUUAUUAAGGAAAGUAUUGCAAGUUGGCAAUAUUAAUUAUAGAAAACAAGAGUUAUACCUUGCAAAGUCGUAAGGGUUGUAAAGUUGUUUUGCUAUAAUUAAGGGAGAGAAUAUUAUGCUUCAUUUCAAAUCUAAAGGCUUAGGUUGAGAAAUGUUAAUAAAUUUAGUCAAAGGUACAUAGUGUGUUCUUAAAAUUUCGAUUAUGAUUACGACAUUCCUCUUCACAAUUCGAAUUUUGAGAACAUAGCAAAUAAAACAUUAUGCGUCGUGUCCCAUACGCUUCGGGUAUAGGAUCGAUUGCAAAUGCUUUAAUGUUUGACCAUUCUAAAAUUUUCCAAAUGUCUAGCGCAUUUAGAGGGAAAAGGGACUAGAAUUGGUUUUGACUAAAAUAAUUAAACAACUAUCAAAGGACAAUCCAAAGUUCGACGAGGAUUGGUCGCUUGUGAGUAGUUGGAAGCAUGGUAUUGGAUGGACCAUAUCGACAUUAUUAUGAAUAGAAAAGAUUCUAUUAAGAAUGAGUUGUCAUAUGGAAAUUAUGGAAAUGUUUCCAUAUUGGAUGGACCAUAUCGACAUCAUUACGAAUAGAUAAGAUUCUAUUAAGAAUGAGUUGUCAUAUGGAAAAUAUGGAAGCGUGUCCAUAUUGGGAAUUGAAUAUUGAAAAUCUAUGUCUAGAUUAGAAACUUUUAUGCAAAAGGAUGUUCAAAGGAAUGUACUUUGAGUGAGAGACAUCAUAUCUAAGGAAUUGUCUUGUAACAAUCUCCGAUAGAGGACUUUGUAAUAUCAUUGGCAAUAGUCUUUGUGACUUUGGUGCAGUGACAUUACGAAAGGAUCAUUGCAUAGAAUGUUAGAAUCUAGCAUAUUUUAUAAGUAACAAGAAUUUGAUAUUCUCACACUUAUGAAAAAGGAUUUGGAGUUGUGAAAUGAGAAUGAUUGGAAAUGUGUUCAAUUUGAUCUAUUUCACAAAGUAAGAACCAUAGGUAAACAUUGUGUGCAUGCUAGGAGCAUGGGACAAGUGUAAUAAUUCAAGUAAGAAGUUGAUUACCCGAAACGACAAAUAAUGAGUAAUCGAUAUGGUGAUAAAUAAAAGGUGUUUUAUUUAUACUCAAAGGUUUGAGGCCAUAUGGGAUUAGUAUUAUUCUUGUGUUUCACAUUUGCAUGUUUUGACUUCCAGAAUAAUUGAGUUUAUUAAGAAUAAUCGAAUUAUUCAAACGGGCCACAGUCGUUCAUAUGUUGGAAGUAGAUAUGAAUGAAGACUGUCGUGAAUUGGUGUGUGGAUUGUCUAAAAGAGUAUUAGACAUAAGCAAAUGUUUGCUGCAACGUUCAUGAGUGCUUAUGAAUAUGAUUUGAGCAUUGGAUUAAACCCACGCUCACUUGGAUCACUCCAUGAAUUGUAUCACGAGUGAUUGGUGAGACGAUAACAUCUUAUAUUCUUGAAACCGAGAUGUGUGAGUUGUAUCUUGCAAAUCGGUUGCACAUUGAUAAUAUGUAAACGCACUAGUAACUUGGUGUUAUAAAACAUAUUGUUGUGUGUGAUUCGGUGAGUGAGUGCAAGCAAGCAUUGUAUCAAAGUUUAUCCGUUCCUUUUAUCCAAAGUAGGAUAAAAGCGAUAUCUUUGGGCCCCUCGAUGAUUUAGUGAUGACAAACGUAAAUGCUCGGCCGGGCUAGGGCUAAUUUGAUUUGUUCAAUUAGUCAGUCGUCAUAAAUCGGAAAUCGAGAUAUAGUACAAAGAGAAUGAUUUGAAAUCAUAUCUCAUAUGAUAUCUAGAAUGGAGGAAUAUAUGAUCCCUUAUCUAAGGACACGCGUAUCUGAUAGGAUCAGAGUUGACAGCGGCUUUGGAAAGCUACGAUUGCAGAUCAGGAUCUGAAGUCAUACGCAUAAUAGUUAUUAGACUUAUCCAAGUGGGAGACUGUUGGAUUAGUGUCUAAGUCCAUAACUAUUUUGGUAUGUACUUGACCCGAUGGUGCAUGGUCCUUUUGGGUUGCCUUCACCAAAGCAACUUGAUAGGAUGAAUUAUGGAGAGAAAGGAUUAAAUAUGAUUUAUUAAUAUAUUAUGAGAAUAAUAUAUUAAAGGAGAAAUCAUAUUGUUUAAUUAAUAUUAGUCAAGAAUUAAUAAGAAUUAAGUUUGUGACUAAAAGAGAUUAAUUAAACUUAAGGGACUAGAAUUCUAAUUAUAAGAUAAUUGCAAUUGGGCUAUGGAUUGCCUUAUAUUAUAAGGUUGGACGAAUUCUAUGGGGGAAACCCAUUGGAAAUCGUCCAAGGCCUUUAAGGAAAGGAGUCCAUGGGUUGCUUAGGGCUUAAGCAUCCAAAUUAGGGUUUCCUUGUUAGAUAACCCUAAUAGCCUCACUAUUUAAAGAGCCCUUAUGCCCUAAAAACGUGGACAAGCUUCCUUCUAGGGUUUCCACACGUUUUGGGCAGCCUCCUUCUCUCCUCUUCUUCAUCCUCUUGCUAUUGGUGUUUGUGAACCAUUAGAGGAGUGACAUUUGUGACUCUAAGCUUUCUAAAGUCAUCACAAGAAGGACUUGUGAUUGUUAUUGCUACAUAACAAUCAAGGUAAUAUCUUAAACCCAUUCUUAUGUUAAUAUGAUUACUUUUAUGCUAGAACUAGGGUUUAUAGUCUUGGAUAUCUUGCAUGUACAAUAGAGAAACCUAGAUCCAAGCAUUAGGGUUUGUAUGAGCACAUAGGAUGUUCUUAUAGCCAAAACCCAUCAGUUUUAACUGAAAGAUCACCGUUUAUCCAUUCCACCACCAGAAGAUUAUGACUUCUAUAAGGGUUAAAAGAGAGAACGAUCAAACUAUUGGUGUUAAUCCAAACAAGUCAAAGUCAUGUGUUUUAUUGAAGCGUAUUUUAGUCUUUUAGUAUUUUGUUAGGAGUAUGACUAAGUAUAUGGCCAUGUUGGCUCUAGAGAUUUAGAGGGCAGUAGGUGCAGUAACUUUAGGAUAAGUAGUUGAAUUUAUCUUGUUUAAUAUCCUUGUAGUCGAUGAGUUAAUUGAAUGGGAAUAAACACAGAAAAAUUGCCCAGUAUAUUCUCACUUUUUACUCAGUUUUUGCUGUGUGAAAUAGGGCCUGAACCAACACAAACAGGUGUAGACGUGUUUUCUGCUUUCGACCCCAUUGCUGCUCCAUAUUUGAGCUACUAAUAACUUCAGUACUUUCUUAUCCUUCUCUCUCUCUCUCUCUCUCUCUCUCUCUCAUUAAGAAGAUGUCGGUAAAACUCGAUCUGAACUGUCUAGGACUUUUACAUCACCACCAAAUUUAAACCACAAGGACUUUGUUGUGUUUUCUUUUACAUCCAAACACAAAGAAACAAAAACAGAUGUCUCCUUCUUAUUUUCUUCUUUGUUGGUUCGAUGAAGGUUGUGGUUUCGGUUCAUAUUGUAGACACAAUCAACAAUAAAUCAUACAUGCUAACUCAUAUACCAUUUUGUUUUAUUUCUACAACAUAUUGUAAUCAUUUUUGUUUUUUGUUUUUGUUCAGAUCUUGGGGUUGUGAAGCAGAACAUUAAAAAGAUGAGGGAAAUGGUGAGUUUGAGUUUGUUAUUAUUUUUUAAAACAGAUCUACAUAUCUUUAGUUGUACAUGAUUUUGAAUAUUGAACUUCAAUGUUUUUUUUUUUUUUUUUUCAAAUUUAUAAUAGUGCUAUAGUUAUAUUUGACAUACAAUUUUUAUAAUUGUAGGAUUAUUUUGUUGUUGCUGCUAAUGAGUAUGAGGAGAAACCUAGAAGUGAGCCAUGUUUGCUGUUAAUGGUAUGUCCAAUUCUCAAAUUAUUUAUGUUUUGUGUUUUUAACUUGAAUUUGUCCAUGUUUUCAAGUUAAAUAUCUGCAGUAUCUUUAGAUUUUGUAGGUGAUUUUUUUCUAAUUCCGGACAAGUUUGAGGUAAAUUUCAAUAUAUGGAGUUGUGCAGAAUUAGGAUGGCCUUGAUGGCUUGAUGUGAUUGCGGAUAAAUUGUUUCAGGGUUGUACAAGUCCCAUGGCUCUUUCUAUUACACCAUUGUUUGAUGUUAUGCUUAGUCAAAUUGGGUAAAUGUUUUCGAGUGCUGUGCUAUGAUAAGAAGAAAUGUCUAUUUGCAUUACAUUGAUCUUAUAUAUUUUGAUUAUUGUGUUUUGUUUGAUAUUAUUAAGACUUACUGUCUUGAAAAUCUACUCAAACUACAUUGCUAUUUCUUAUAUUUAAGCCAUCUUUUUUUAUAUAGAUCUUAACUAAUUUUUCUAUUUUAGUGAAGGUUUGAAAAUUUGGAUUGAAGAUUGAAUAUGGUUGAUUCACAAUGCAGGGGGUUGCUAGAGAAUAUACACAUACAUAGAAAGGUGGGUUGAGGAGAAAAUACAUCUGACAAGGUAUUAGCUAACUUAAGCCACUAUAUAUUAUUUAUAAUUCCGAAGUGUUAAAAUUGGAGGAAUGUGAAUGAAAAAAUCUCGGAAAUCAAAACUCAAAAUUACUUCCAAAAGUAUGGUAAACAUAUAUCAUCUUCCAGGUUCCUAUUAAUACUCAUUAUUUUUUUAGUUUCAAACAUGUAAUAAUAUCUUGAUUUUGUGAUUUACUUGGUUUUAUUUCGAAAUCCCAAUUGUUCCAAAGGGCCAAGCAUCUUUUCCAUAAUUCUUCUACAAACUUAGACCAUCCAGCAUUUCAAUUUCAAAAUUUGUUAGUUUGCUUGGAUGUUCAUGUUCCUGUUCCUGUUUAGUAUUUGUGUUGUUUCUUAUGGUAUUUUCUCAUCAAUCUCACUUUGUAUUGUGUAAAAAUUUGGAUGUAAGAAAUGACAAAUUGCAAAAUUAAAAUGAAAAACAUAUGAAAAAAUGGGUAACAGGUGGAUACUGCAAGAAAAUGUAAAAUUUCAAAUUUAACAAACGAUUAAUAAAGUUUCAAAAUUAGAAAUCGUUUUUCAUAACUUAUUUAUCAAAAUGGCUUAAACAAUAAGAUUGAAUUUAAAAUUUACGAUAACAUUUCUACAUAAUUUAUAUCGAAUGAUUAAAUUUACAAUGUAAACAAGUGUUGUGAAGACUAAAAUUAAACAAAUAUCUAUUUAUUUAAGUAAAAUCAAAAUUAGUUUGAAAUUACGACUUUAAAUUUAACCGACUUAAUAACUAUGAAGUCUUAACUUAAUAUAUUAAAUUUUAUAAAGAAAAUACAAAUAAAUUAAGUAUAUUUUUUUGUUGUAAAUUUCGAAAACAAGUUAAAUACUUCAUUAAUUUUAAAUUUACAAAUAAAACAACUAAGAUUUUUUUUUCUUUGAAAAAACGUAGUUUCAUUGCUAUUAAAAAUCAAUUAUUUAAUAUUGUAUAUCUCUAAAUAUUUAACAAAUUUAUAACAAAAUAUAGGUUAAUUAUCAUAAAUUAAAUAUUAACUAGUGGAGAAACCCUGCUACGCAGGGUUUCGAUUAAGACCAGAAUUCCCCAAAAGUCUCUCAACCGAAAUGCCCCUGGUCACUUUCAUAAUGAUUUGAAUACUUUAAAUAAAAAACCAACUAACAUUACAUGCCAACAGGUCAUCCUUAAUUAAAACAGAAAGAAUGCCACAUCAUCACCAUCAUGGACCAAAGUUCCCCAAAAGCCUCUCAACAGCAGAGCAUGAACAUUGCCUGAAGUAGCACUAAAAACCCUAAUAUUCUCUUGCACAUCAAAGAACCCCAUCUCCUGAAGUUGACACAGUUGAGUUGCAUAAAGUUGCUCCGGUGCCACUACAAAUUAAAAACAAUAAUCAUCGUCAACAUCAUAAAUAAAAGUUCAAGGGUAAACACGUAAAUUUACAAAAGAACUUGACUUACCAUCAGGGACAUUUAGGACUCCUAUGCCACCAGCUCCAAGUCCACCAAACAUACUCAUCAACAUGUCUAAUCCCAUAUUGUUUUGUCAUCCUGCAGAUUAAAAACUUGAAAUAACACUAAAAUGGCAUAUGAUUUAUAAAAAUUAUUAACAAUGGAAGUGUCUAGUUAGCACCUGCAGAAGCACCUGAGUAGGAUUCCUGAAACAGAAAACUUAAUGGGUUGAGCAUGUAAAACUGACGAAUAUUGUGAAAUUUGUUUUUUGAAAUGUAAGGUUAAAAUGGUCAUUUGGUCUCUCAUCCAGACCAUCUAUUCAGUCUAGAAAAGAAACAGGCCUCAU
rnacentral:lncRNA from 1 species